UAGGGAAUCUUCGGCAAUGGACGAAAGUCUGACCGAGCAACGCCGCGUGAGUGAAGAAGGUUUUCGGAUCGUAAAACUCUGUUGUUAGAGAAGAACAAGGACGUUAGUAACUGAACGUCCCCUGACGGUAUCUAACCAGAAAGCCACGGCUAACUACGUGCCAGCAGCCGCGGUAAUACGUAGGUGGCAAGCGUUGUCCGGAUUUAUUGGGCGUAAAGCGAGCGCAGGCGGUUUCUUAAGUCUGAUGUGAAAGCCCCCGGCUCAACCGGGGAGGGUCAUUGGAAACUGGGAGACUUGAGUGCAGAAGAGGAGAGUGGAAUUCCAUGUGUAGCGGUGAAAUGCGUGGAUAUAUGGAGGAACACCAGUGUCGAAGGCGGCUCUCUGGUCUGUAACUGACGCUGAGGCUCGAAAGCGUGGGGAGCAAACAGG
rnacentral:rRNA from 1 species